UCCGAAUGUCCUUGAAUGCCUCUUCCUUUUCCGUUUCCUGUCCGACCUGGAGAAGAAACUGCCGUUCAGCUCCAUUCAUCUGAAGGACUGAAAUAACCUGCUGACCUCCUCUGUGUCUGACUAACCACAAAUUGUUGUGUGCUCUGGCUCUGACU